rfam:Triticum aestivum genome assembly, contig: Triticum_aestivum_CS42_TGACv1_scaffold_423671_5BS
GGUGGUGCAAUGGUUAUAAAACAUUCCUCGUACUGAUGGGAGAUCCACGUGAAUGACUCCUAUACACCGAUAGAAUCUGAGCACCA